GUACUCUCACACUUCCGAUCUUUGGAUUGGGAGCGGUGGACUUGGGUGUUGCUGCUUUACUGUGGCUCGCCUCAAAUGGAGUAGUGCAACUCUUGGUUGGACAUAGUACGGCGUGAUAAGUGUCUUCGCUGGUGCCUCGCAAGAGGGUGGCCGAUCGGGAUGUUGUGCUCCAAACCGUCUUCGGACAAUCUCUGACA
rnacentral:misc_RNA from 1 species